AUUGAACGCUGGCGGCAGGCUUAACACAUGCAAGUCGAACGAGUGGCGGCCGGGUGAGUAAUGCUUGGGAAUCUAGCUUAUGGAGGGGGAUAACUACGGGAAACUGUAGCUAAUACCGCGUACCAUAGGAUGAGCCUAAGUGGGAUUAGGUCGUUGGUGGGGUAACGGCUCACCAAGCCGACGAUCUCUAGCUGGUCUGAGAGGAUGACCAGCCACACUGGGACUGAGACACGGCCCAGACUCCUCCGGGAGGCAGCAGGGGGGAAUAUUGCGCAAUGGGGGCAAGCCUGAUGCAGCCAUGCCGCGUGAAUGAAGAAGGCCUUAGGGUUGUAAAGUACUUUCAGCGAGGAGGCGUUAGCCGCAGAAGAAGCACCGGCUAACUCCGUGCCAGCAGCCGCGGUAAUAC
rnacentral:rRNA from 1 species